AUCAGACCAGCCAAGUAAUAAAUAAUAUAGACAGCCAAAAAUAGAAUCAGACGAAAGCUAAUACUAGUUGUUCAUAAAAAGAGCUUAUAAAUAUACAUGUAUUUAUAUAUGUAUCUACGAAGAAGAAAAUACGAUAACAUAUAUAUAAAAAUUAAAGGUGGGAAAAAAAGAUCCAGUGGGGAAAAAAAAAAAGGGUCCGGAAGCUUUGAGAGCUUGGUGGGUCAAAUUUGUAGUGGCCGUUGUUAGUUUCUGAGUGAUGGUGAUGCUUUAUAACUCUGGUUUUUAAUUAGUUUCAGACUCUUUCGCAAGUGGCCACAAGCAGGAAUAGACGGGAGCUAAGACUCAGCUUUCAGCUUCCUUUUGCUGUUGAAUAGCUUCAGAGUUGGUAUUUUAAACAAAGAAAAGCUGCUUAUUGGUAGUUUUAAUCCAUGGACUCUACUGGGUUGACCUAACUCAAAGUGAAUCUCAAUUGGGUUUUGUGUAGAUUUAAGAUUGGAGGAGAAGAAACAAGGAGUAGGAAAGAGUUAAAAAAGAAACUAGAAUUUUUCUAGUUUGAUUUCAACAUGUCUGUAGCAUUAUUUUGGGUUGCAUCAACAAGCUCAGAAUUAUCAAAUUCCUUUGGUUUCUUUGAUUCUCUCCGAGAUGGUAAUCGUCUUUUUGACUCGUCAAGAUUAGGAUCUCGAGAUCGGAGUUUGUUUUUUAGUUCUAGAGCCAAGAAGGGUAGGAGCCAGAGGUUGAAUCCUGGCUCUAUAUGCACAGAUUUGAGGUUAGGUUGCUCUAACUUUGAUGGGCAAAGCAACAUGCCUCUGACAUCAAGUAUGGUAGUCAGUCCAGCCGGGGAAA